UACGUAGGGUGCAAGCGUUAAUCGGAAUUACUGGGCGUAAAGCGUGCGCAGGCGGUUUUGUAAGUCUGUCGUGAAAGCCCCGGGCUCAACCUGGGAAUUGCGAUGGAGACUGCAAGGCUUGAAUCUGGCAGAGGGGGGUAGAAUUCCACGUGUAGCAGUGAAAUGCGUAGAGAUGUGGAGGAACACCGAUGGCGAAGGCAGCCCCCUGGGUCGACACUGACGCUCAGGCACGAAAGCGUGGGGAGCAAACAGG
rnacentral:rRNA from 1 species